rnacentral:rRNA from 2 species
UUUAUGGAGAGUUUGAUCCUGGCUCAGAGUGAACGCUGGCGGCGUGCCUAAUACAUGCAAGUCGAACGAUGAAGCUUCUAGCUUGCUAGAAGUGGAUUAGUGGCGCACGGGUGAGUAAGGUAUAGUUAAUCUGCCCUACACAAGAGGACAACAGUUGGAAACGACUGCUAAUACUCUAUACUCCUGCUUAACACAAGUUGAG